rnacentral:rRNA from 1 species
UACGGAGGGGGCUAGCGUUGUUCGGAAUUACUGGGCGUAAAGCGCGCGUAGGCGGACCUGCAAGUCGGGGGUGAAAGCCCGAGGCUCAACCUCGGAACUGCCUUCGAUACUGCGGGUCUCGAGUCCGGGAGAGGUGAGUGGAAUUCCUAGUGUAGAGGUGAAAUUCGUAGAUAUUAGGAAGAACACCUGUGGCGAAAGCGGCUCACUGGACCACAACUGACGCUGAUGCGCGAAAAGCUAGGGGGAGCAAACAGGG